rnacentral:pre_miRNA from 7 species
CUUUCUACACAGGUUGGGAUCAGUUGCAAUGCUGUGCGUUUCUGUGGUAUUGCACUUGUCCCGGCCUGUUGAGGUUGG